rnacentral:lncRNA from 10 species
CUCUGACUUGGAUCAUUCAUAGCUUGUCUUGUUGCUAAUCAUUACCUAAACUGCCUGGUUCCUAGUACCCCUGGAGAAGAUAUUCUCCUUCCACAUAAGCAACAGAAACAGGUGACUAUGAGAGGGCUUUGCGCUACAGAGAUGAGAUGAUACUGAUUAAAGGCAAGUCAGAUUUCAAAUACUUUCUCCUGAAAAUCCAUUUUACUCCUUUGCUGUUAGCAGCAUUUACUACAGGAAAAUGUAUACUUAACAUUUAGCCAAAAAUAAAAACCUCUGCAAAAUGCCUAAAUAUAGAUUGCUUCAUUGCCUUCAAAUCAGACUGGAAAGAACACAGAGGCUGGUGCUCAGAAGAAACUGAGUGGUUGGAGACUGCAAAGCAGUCUGCAAUCAGAAGAAAUUACAAUUAUGGCACCGAGCACUAAUCCCAGAAAAUCUAAACACAGACAACCACUAAAUCCCAUUAUAAAAUAUAAUAAUCAUUAUUAGAGCUUUUUUUUUUUCUCCCAGAAAAUAAAGAGUUGGAGACAUUAUGCCGUUGCUUAACCAUUUUCCAUAGCAGGUCAUUAUUCUUUAUGAUGCUACUAAAUAUACUCAUCAUCUUACAAAUCCCAAGUUCACCUUCCAAAUACAUGAUCUCGUCCUUCUGUGUAAAGUUAAUGAAAGUUGUAAAAGUGCUUUAUUCCGUAUCUUUAUUUUUCCCCACAGGGACAGGGGAAUAAAAAUGUGAUGCAUUGGAGGAGAAUCACAGGACUCAACAAAUAAACCUUGAGAUGUCAUUGUCACCUGUGUGUACUUUAUGAGAAUACACGUAGAGAUUAACCCUUUCCUGGAAAAUGAACGUCUAUUGCUUCUUUUGGGGACAGCAUGCUUUAUAGUUAGGACAUUCUUCUUUAUAUCCAGCCUGACUUCUUCAUGCUGUACUAGCCUUCCAAUCCUUAACUAAAAAUUUUUUAAAAAUGAAUAAACACUGGGCAAUGUGUUCUAUGGGCUCUUUAAAAUACUAUGAGACUGUAGUAAAAACAUCACAACACAAAUGGCAAAGUAGUGAAGAAUGGUGCUGAUAUGGUUUGGCUGUGUCUCCACCCAAAUCUCAUCUUGAAUUCCCAUAAUCCCCAUGUAUCCUGGGAGGAACCCAAUGGGAGAUAAUUGAAUCAUGGGGACGGUUACCCUCAUGCUGCUGUUCUCAUGAUAGUGAGUGAGUUCUCAUGAGCUCUCAUGGUUUUAUAAGGGGUUUUUCACCCUGUUGUUCAGCACUUCUCCUUUCUGCUGCCAUGUGAAAAAGGAUAUGCUUGCUUCCCCUUCCGCCAUGAAUGCAAGUUUCCUGAGGCCUCCUCAGCCAUCUGAACCGUGAGUUAAUUAAACCUCUUUCCUUUAUAAGUUACCCAGUCUCAGAUAACGUCUUUAUUAGCAGUGUGAGAACAGACCAAUACAGAUGCUGUGCUAAGUUUUCUGAUUUUACCACCUCUUCUAGAACAUGCUAGAACCAGUCCACAUCAAAUUUUCCCUUAAGGCACAAACUGCUUCCUUCUGUUUUGUAGCCAAACAAUACAGUACAUUUGUGGACCCACAAUGAAUAUCCAUAAAUCCUCACAGAAUGAGUGAGUCAGCGAAUCAAUGAACCAUUACUUCCUGAAUUCAAUACAAAGCACUUCAGACAAUGAAACCAAAAUCUCCAUCUCUCAUCUCUUUCAAUUCCCAUUCUAAUAAGGAAAGAAAACAUAAACAUGCAGUGAGUUCUCAGUUAAUGAAUUAUUUCUAGAUUGAACUACAAGAAAUUGCCACUUUGGUUUAUAGGUCAAAAACAGUUGAAUAUCAGCUGUAUGCUAAUAUUUGCAGUCUUUGGCUGAUAUUUGGGAAUUUCUUCUUUUCUUUAGCAACAUCAGAAAAAAGUGCCUUAAGAUGAGUUAGAGAUAUGUAAAUAGCAUCUCAUUCUGGGAAAAUAGCUAAGCAAAAAUCAGAAAGGAUGCCAAAAUGCUCAGUUUGGGUGUGCACUCUUU